CAUCACAUUCACAUAAAACUUACAUUUUCAGAAUCAGCAUACUCAAAUAACAAAUACAAACAUACGUCAAAAUCAUACAAAUUGGUCCAGUGGGUCAAAAGUUAGUUGGAAAUCCCUUUGUGACCUCCUGCAAGCAUGGCUUGGGUGUGGUAAGCCAAUUACCUCCAGCAUACAGAAAAUAGCUCUAUUCACAACAACAGUAAAAACACAUAAAAAUACAUAAUUCCUAUUAUACUUAACCCCCACAUCCAACCUAUCCCCAGAUAGCUUAGAUCUGAGCGCUCACUAUAUCACAUACACAGUCAAAUCACCAUGGGGUUAAACCAUAGCAACAAGUUCCAACUGGUCUGGCAGUGAC